AAUAAGAGAGAAGUGUGGUCAGAAUGUGGCCUUGGAAUUCAGGGAUACACCGCUGAGGUGCAGGGAGGAUGGACCAAGAAGCAGAAUGGUCUCUUCUGGAAUGUGGUAAAAUGGAAUGUUGAUAAGGUCCUAAAGUUAGAAACUUUGGAAUGUUUUAUAUCUUCUAUAUUUGCCCUUUGUUUUUCUUUCUUCAUGUUUCGCUUUUCUUUUCUGCAGCAAUCUACGAAAAUUCUAAACCCAUUUUUAUCACCUUUAUUUUUUUUUCUCUAUGUGUAUGAUUUAGCCUUCUGUAUUAAAAUGCAUCUAAGGGUGGUUCCUCUCUUCCAUUAUAUUAGCUCUGAAAAAUAUUUUUUGAGCCCACACUCUAGGUAAAUAUCCAUCUGGACUGAAACCCUUUGCCCCUGGAUGGUGCCUGUGGGUCUGCCAAGAGAAAUGCUGCUUGCAGUUGUUUUUUGGAAAACAGAAGGGUACUUCUGCUAGUUUCAAAAACUAAUAGUUAUUAAAUAGAGUUUUUCUGAGAGACUUCCAGGCAGUAGAUGAACCUCUUACAUUUUAUAGCAAUGUUUGACUUCACUGAAAGGCCAAGGAGCAAAGUUUGAAUAUAUUGGAGAAAGGUAAAUUAGUGCUAAAUACUCUAUAUAGGGUUAGGAUAUUGGUUAUGUAGGCCUUUGAUAAAUUAAAGAAAGGGGAAUGGAGCAAAGGAACAUUUAAAUUGAUUUUUCAAGUCAAUUUGAUUUGUGAAAGCUAGAGGAGAAUUUAAGUUCCAAUAUGAUUUAUUCACAAUGAUUGGAUUUAGUUCUCAUACCUAUGUAUAUGAUUCUAAAUAUUUUUAGUUGCAGCCAGAGUACAAAAGCCCUUGAAGGAGUUAAAUACAAAAUAAAAAUAUAUUUGAGCCUACCAUGCACAGUCGGCCUUUUAGCUCAUGUUACAUGAUGAGCAUCCUCUGGUUUACUUAUUAGCAUACACUAAAAUUCCACUGUGGUCUUUUCUCCAGAAACUUACCUGCUAAGAAUAAAAUACAAAUAGAUGUCUUAUUUCUUUAUUUGGCUGUUUUUUUCUUUCUUUUCUUUCUUUUUUUUUUUUUUUUUUUUUUUUUUUUUUGUCUUUUCAAAUAGAGGAUACCUAUUUCUAAUUUUUUGUCUGCAUUUUAGUUAAAAGUCUUCAUUUUAGUCUCAUUUUAGCUAAAAAUCUACAUUUCAGUCUCAAAAGAGAUUCAAAUGGAUAAAGAAGAGUUUCCACUUCAAUGGCGUAAAUAGCCCACCACAUUGUCCAUCCUAUCUCCCCUGCUAAAAAUUUAGGGUCUCAACAUACUACUUUUCAAGUAAGAAGAAGCCUUCUCACUAGUAACAAACCACAGAGAAAUUCAGUUCUCUUAAGUGUCAUACAGAUUAGGACAAACACAAGGAGUCUAAGGGCAAUCCCAGGUACUUCUACAGAGAAGACAUGUCUACCCUAAUCAUGAUGUUAGUUUGCAUCAAUCUACACAGUACGGUACUGACAGGAAUCACCUUUUUCUAAAUCUUAAGUGAUGAGGAAAAUGAACAAGGUUGGGUGGAGCUCAGAAAUAAACACAAGUUACAUAGCAUGUACAGGCAUGAUUUGGACUGGUAUCCGUUAAUAUGAGCUGUGAGGGAGGAGGGGACAUAUUUGUAAACGAUUUGCAAACUGACUAUUGCAAAGAAUUGUCAAGCAACACAAUGAAAGAUGGACUAUAGUUAUACAAAUAAGCUGUGCCGAAUUUUUUUUCCCAUUGUUAAAUGUAAAAGACAGCAGAAUUGUUUGAUUUCUCGUGACUUCACAAUUCUCCCUUGUCUCAAGAAAUUCUGUAUACUAAGGGUGGAGUGUGGGCUUUGUGAUUUACUGAGUCCUCUGCUGGGCUUUUUUUUUUUUUUUUUUGACUCAAUAUUUUGACUCACUAUGUGAAUUCUGACUAAUUGCUUGGUACCUUCAGGCCACUGGUUUCCCCCAGCAGCACAGUUAAGUGCUUACUUGCAAAAAUGCUUGUGUGUGAAAAUGUGUGUGAAAGAUGCACUUUAAAAUAAUUCAUAACAGAAAGAAUACUUAUAAUUCUAACAUAUUUUAAAGAAAUGUGUUUAAAGCUUUUAGUUUUCAUGUGAGCUGUUAAAGUGACUUCAUGCCACCCAGACUGUUUCCUCUUCUUCUUCCUAGGGGUUAAAUUUAUAAUUACAUGUAGCUUUGCAUUUAGCAUUUGAAGAGAUUUCAUCAAACUCUACUGGUUCCUACAGGAUAGGAUAGGCUCACUUUCACUUUUACAGCACUGUGAUGUUCUCAUGGAUGUGUUUGGUGAUUCCAGAUUUAUUAUUCUAAUUAUGAGCUAAUGAGCAAAGAGCUUUGCAAGGAAAUUUGCCUUACUUGCUAAAGGAGGACAAAUUAUCAGCUUCCAAGAUACAUCACUUGUUUUUGAGACCCUUUAACUCACCAGCAGAGGCCUAUCCUAGCCAAGUUAAAUCAGUUUUCCGAGAAGGGCACUGACUGCUACCUUUAAAACAAGUAACUCUCCCGCAAUUUUAAGGAGUUUGCCUGGCAGAAUCCAAAUGAUUUGGAAUUCUUUUAAAUUAGUGUUCUCUUUAGCCACUUCUUCGACCGUCUCUUACUAUUUCUAAGACAGCAAAAUAUGAAGGAAACUACUGACUAGUCUCUCGUUACCACCCAAACAGAUUGGAAAUAAUUUAACGUAAAGAAAAUAUAGGAGUUCCCAUCGUGGCGCAGCAGAGACGAAUCCAACUAGGAACCAUUAGGUUGUGGGUUCGAACCCUGGCCUUGCUCAGUGGGUUAAGGAUCGAGUGUUGCCGUGAACUGUGGUGUAGGUCAUAGAUGCGGCUCGGAUCUGGCAUUUCUGUGGCUGUGGUAGCUCAGACUAGACCCCUAGCCUGGGAACUUUCAUAUGCCACAGGUGCAGCCCUG
rnacentral:lncRNA from 1 species